CCCCUCCCCCCGUCCUAGCCGGUCUUUUCCCUCAGAGGCGGAGAAAAUGGAGGAGGAGGUGUGUGGCCGGCCCGGGCGCCCUUCUCGGCUUCGCCUGCCGGUCUGGAGGAGUCGCCGGCUGGUGGGAGGCCUUUGAAGCCGGGAAAGGGAGGAGAGAAAGGCGGCGGCGACACCACCUCACACCCCCGGCGAGGGAGCGGGCGGGGGGAAGGGAGAGGAGAAGAAAAGAAGAGGCGGCGGCCAAGGCGCAUGCGCAGGGAGAGCUGGCCGGAAGUUAAUUCGUCAAAAUGGAGCUGGAGCCAGAUGCUUUUAGCCCUGCUGGAGAAGAAACGAAUCCGGAGGCUACCUGCUACCAGUGCCCUACCUGCCGGGCGGACGAGGAUCGCAGUUGCGCCAACUCCAUGCGGGGCCGGUCGAAGUCACGCAGCUUGUCGGCGUCUCCAGCCUUGGGCAGCGCCAGAGAAUUCAGGAGGACGCGCUCCUUGCACGGACCAUGCCCGGUGACCACCUUCGGACCAAAAGCCUGCAUGCUGCAGAAUCCCAAAACUAUCAUGCACAUUCAGGACCCAGCAAGCCAACGGUUGACAUGGAACAAACCACCCAAGAGUGUGCUUGUGAUUAAAAAAAUUCGGGACGCCAGCCUCCUGCAACCCUUUAAAGACCUCUGCAUCUAUCUUACAGAGGUGAACAACAUGAUUGUAUACGUUGAGAAGAAAGUGCUGGAAGACCCGACCAUCGUGAACGAUGAUAGUUUUGGACCAGUGAAGAAAAAAUUUUGCACGUUCAGAGAAGAUUAUGAUGAUAUCUCCAACCAGAUAGACUUCAUCAUCUGCCUAGGAGGAGAUGGGACCUUACUUUAUGCUUCUUCCCUUUUCCCGGGAAGCGUGCCUCCGGUUAUGGCUUUCCAUUUGGGAUCGCUGGGAUUUCUCACCCCCUUCAAUUUUGAGAACUUUCAGUCCAAAGUCACUCAGGUUAUAGAAGGCAACGCAGCACUGGUCCUCCGAAGCAGGCUUAAAGUGAAAGUCGUCAAGGAGCACCGGGAGAAGAAAACAAGGAUCCAGAACGGCAUCGAAGAGAACGGAGUCAUGUCUCCGACUCUAGAAAUGAACAAGGAAGGGUUCAAGCAGGCGAUUCAGUAUCAGGUCCUGAAUGAAGUUGUGGUGGAUCGAGGCCCUUCGUCCUAUCUUUCCAACGUUGAUGUCUUCUUAGAUGGGCAUCUAAUAACCACAGUGCAGGGGGACGGUGUCAUCGUCUCCACCCCGACGGGCAGCACAGCCUACGCAGCUGCGGCAGGGGCUUCCAUGAUCCACCCAAACGUCCCAGCGAUCAUGAUCACCCCCAUCUGCCCCCACUCGCUGUCUUUCCGGCCCAUUGUCGUUCCUGCUGGAGUAGAGCUGAAGAUUAUGCUGUCUCCGGAUGCCAGGAACACUGCCUGGGUUUCGUUCGAUGGGCGAAAGAGACAGGAAAUCUGCCACGGGGACAGUAUCAGCAUCACUACCUCUUGCUACCCCCUUCCUUCCAUCUGUUUCCAAGACCCUGUGAGUGACUGGUUUGAGAGCCUGGCCGAAUGUCUGCACUGGAACGUCCGGAAGAAGCAAAAUAACUUUGUGGUGGACGAAGAGGAAGAGUUUUGAGCGCCGGCAGAGACUUGGCGGGAGGCGAGAACAAGCGGCACUUUCCCCCUCUGUACAAAAAUGUAUUUUUAAGCCUGUAGCUUCGGGGAGUAGACCAAUAUAAAGUUAAUAUACAUAUAUCUAUAUAUAUAUAUAGAUAUAUAUAAUGUAUAUUACAAUUUUUUUUAAAGACAGCAAUGUACCUCAUAUCAGUCUGUUCUGCUGACGGCCAGAUAUCAUGUUGUUUCUGUCUGUUGAAAGGGCUGGAGAUGAGAGUCACGUUGCGUUUGUCGGGCGAAAUGUUUUGUCUGUAAAAUGUGUCACAUGUUUUCCGAGCAAUGUGUUUUCUACCAAAAAAAAAAAGUUUUGCAGACACCUUAUUGAAACCAAGGACAAUUUCCACGCUUGGCGAGUUUCAGAUUCUUCUACCAGCUCUAAUGUUUUGUGUGUGUGUGGAUUAGGCAGACCUUUGAUCAACUCACGCUGGCGCCCUCGGCAGGUCUGUGCGUUCACAGCAGACCUGCCUGUUAGAAAAGGGAGAAUGGACAGCCGGGCUGGGCUUCCUGCUGACCCCUCAUUUUCCCCUGUCUUCAGCCUUCCAAGAAAUGUGUUUUGAUCACCAUUUGUCUCCUUCCCCUUUUAUUGUUAUUUUUGUACAGACAAGUCUUGAAGUAACUUCAGGCCAUCAUUGCUGACAGACGUCUGUACUAAGAUCAUGAUGCCUUCUUGACGUUGAUCAGAACUAGCAGGUUCCUCCCUCCCUUCCUUCCGCCUUUCCUUCCUUCCUCCUUUCCUCCCUUCCUUCCUCCUUUCCUUCCUUCCUUCCUUCCUCCCUCCCUCCCUCCCUUCCAGUUGCAUCUGGAAGUGUGUGCUGGUGGGACUUCGUAGGACAUGCGUUUGGAGGCUCGGACGGCAGCGCUGAGAUAAAGAGAGCAUCCCAAGCAGAUAACUGAAAGAUGCAGCGGUGCUUUGGAGGCAAAACCAGGCUGGAGCUGGUCCUAACGGUUCUGUUGGUGGACUCUGGAAAGUUCAUUUGCAGGAAGCUGGGUUGUGAUUAUGAAGCAAUGGCACGGCAGAGCUCUCGUGCCGACCAUGGGCCCCGGAGGUGGUCCAUCGGACGAUGGCGGGAUGCUGAAAUUCCAUCCAAACUCUUAAGCAAGGGGAAGCAAAUUCACACACACAUCUCCCGUUCUGGUUUCUGUUUCCUGCUGUAGCCGUUUUUCCCACAAGAGUUACUCCUCCAGCUUUGAGGGGGGAACUUUUUUUUAAGUGGCAGAGGUAAGUUCAGCGACGAGGAGGCAGAAGCUGCCCUCUUCCUAGCCUUGGCCGUGUCCCCCCUCCACAGCUGCCCACGUGCGCCUGCUUUGCUGACCACUUCCAGGCAGGACGUCUGCAUCACAGACGUUUGCCCCUCCCAUUUUUCUGUCCUGGAGGACCCCCUCCUUGCCAGCUUGAGGGGCGGCUGCCCCCUUUGCUCCCGUCGUUUGAGCGAUCCUGCGGGGCUCCCCCCGAGAAUCCGUGGCGUGAAGAUCCUCCCGAUAGGCUCGCUUGGUUCGUGUGUGCUUUUAAAAGCAAGGAUGUUUUCCUGUACCGUUAAAAGUCCACACAAGCAGGCACAUAUCGGUGACUCCCGUUUGGGUUGGCACCGGCAAACUCUGGCUGGCGAGCGUUUUUGAGGGGAAGGAUCCUUCAAAUGCCUCCUGAAUUCAGGUUACCGUGAAGUUGAUGGUGCUUUUAAUGAGUCCUUUCGAUAAUGAGUGUCUAAUCAGAAGACAUUCCGGGCGUAUUUUCCUCUGGUGCCUUCAGGACACGGUGGUUUUUGUUCCUUUAAAAGACCUCCUGCAUUUGUUUUUGAGAAACAUUCUAUUUUUUGGUUGCAAAUGUAUUUUUUUUUUAAUUGCACAUGGUUUUGAUUAAGAUAAGAGAAAGCUGUCAAAAAAGCAGAGCCUGUUCAAGGUUAGGCAAUUACUGGAGGACUGAAAAAGUUACAAACAAGGCUAGCUUUUGUAUACGUAUAGCUUUACCCAGAAUGUUGCUCUAGGAAUGGAUUCCACAGAUUUUUUUUAAAAAAAUGUAUUUAUUAAACCCCAAAGCACUUCAUUAUUUUUGUUUUCAUUGAGACUCCGGCUGGAUCUCCGUCCUCGGAGAAAUGAGGGGGCGAAAUACCUUAAAGGAGACGGUUAGGAGAUCACAUUUGCCCAGCUUGAGAUGCUAGAAGACAGCCUGCGAGUUGGAGAUGGACCAGAAAAAAACUGGGUAGCCCAUCUUUACUAUUAAAAGUUGGCUAGGUUUGGGAUGAAGGUGUGGAUUUGGGUUUCUUUUCUAAGGGGGAAGGCUCAAAUACUGUAUGGUAUUUCCUCUUUUGUUCUUAAGUAGAACAGUUCUGUCUGUUCUUGAAUAUACAGUUCAGCCGCACAAAAGUAGACCAGGCCUUUGAUAUUCAGGUUUUACAUUUGGAUGCUACCUGUCCCAUCCUGUUCCCCCCUCAGCAAUGAUCCUGAAGCAUCUCCAGCUGACCUGUGAGAAGGUCUUCAGCGUACCUUAAAUAAUCAAAACGGAUUUCGGUCCAGGGCUUGUAGCUCUCUUAACUUUAGGGAAGGGGGCAUUUAAAAUGUCUUUCCGCUGCCCUCUUCCUUUGUCACUUGAACGUCGCUCUUCAUUCUGCUCUGUUCCUCACCCCUUGUUUUUGCACAUCUCUGACUUGACAGUAGUAUCAACUGUUUGACAAUAUUGUCAAGUGUGUCUGUGUUCGUGCACUUGUGUAAAAAGCAACCUUUUUUGCAAUGUUUUUGUCUUAAUAGAACAUCGGGAUCCAGAUCUGCUUGAGAUAGGUUUUAAAAGUUGGUCUGAAUGAGAGUAUAUAUAUUUGCACAAACGUUACUAUUAGCGUGCAAAAAUAUCUUACUGUAGACUGUUGGAGUAAAGUCUGAAUUGUGUUUCUGUGCUGAGCAUGGAGGGGACCUGCUUCGUUUCUGUUCCAAAUGCACAGAAAAAGUACAUUAGACACCCUCUUUCCUCCAAUAGCCUAUUGACUCACCUGCAUGCAGUUUCUGAUCACCAGUGGUGACCAGGCUAGUUUUUUUAAAUGGUUCCUUGUUUUACUUUUGAUGCAAUAAUUCAGAAACAGGGUAAAUGUGCUUCAUAGCAUCCGCAUGAGUUACUGCAAUGUUUGUAGAAAGAUCAGUAGCAUAGCCAGAGCACCUCAAGUACAGAGAAUUUUUACCAAAAUGCAGUGCGCCUUAUUUAGGAGACUUGGGAGUUUCUUUUUAGACAAUGACCAAAAAUGAAAGUAAAAAAAUUGAGUACUUAAGUGGGGGGCGGAAUCUAUCAGUGUUUUUUAGUGUAUGGAAGAAAUGGCUUUUUAAAAAAACCCUAAAUAUUUUAUAUAAUAUGCCCUUGAUUUAUGUGUACAUCCUGUCUCCAGACCAAUUCCAUCAGAUGAUAAAAUCCUUAUUACCCAGAGUUUUUCACUUGCCAAUGUUCCCGAUUCAGUGGCUUUUCUCAGCUUUAGAGGUGGCCAGUAUGGCAUGAGGGCCAGGUCUAUCGAAGUGGCUUGUCUGAUCAUUCGAAGGCACAGCUUUUAACCUGGGCAGACAGACAGACUUUGGGCAUCUAGCGGCUAAUAUCCUACCCCAGGAACCACCGAGGUCUACAUUGAUCCCCCAAAAAGGGGCAUAGAGGGGAAAAAAAAUCAAAUCGGGAAAUGACCAGAAGGUGAUUUCUGGUUUUGAAAAUACCUUUUUUUUUUCCAGCCAUGCUUUUUCAGGACAGUGAAGGGUCUGGGGAAGCUGGCAGGAAAAACAACCUUCCUGGGCACCUCCAUUCGCCUCUUCUUCGGACAGUAUGAGUACAGUUAUGAUGGCAUUCAAAGUAUGAUAUUGACACAGAACCGUUUUCUUUUGCUCCCCCCCAAAAAAAUACACAAAUCUCAUUGUUUUCAUACAAAAACCCCCACAUUAUCUCAUUGUUUUCCUGCAAUCCAUCGACCCGUUUCCAGGAUCAGGCACCAGGAACAGAUUCUGGCCUUUGCUUUUCAAUUUUGGGAGGAGAGAGGGUUGGCACAACGGAGUCGAAAAUCACGGCAACCCACACGGGGCGAGGCGCUGAGAUCCGAACCCCAUCCACCUCCUUGGCUCUGGUGUUUUAAGACUCCUGGCGUGGUUUUCAGUUAGUUGAGCAGCCCUCGCGGAAGGAACCUUAUUCCUGGGCUCUGACUGAAGAUCUCGGGUGUCAAGAGGGCGGCCCAGAGAAACCCUUUCUUGAGUUGCCUUGACCCGACCCUUGUCCCUAAUCUGUUUCUAAGGUCAUCAUCCCCUUCUGCCAUUUGUGAAUGCUACUUAAGCUCUGCUUGGGGUAUUUUAUACCAAAAUAAUUUCAGACAAACAAAUAAGACAGAGCAGAAGACUUUUAAAGUGGACGGCGUAAAUGGGGAGCCACUUUUUCUCUGCCUCCUAACUGUGCCGUCAAGUUAAGCAGAAAAAAUCUCUCUCUCUGACCUGUUAUUUCGACCAAAGAGUCUAAAAGCCUGGAGGUCACCGAGGAGAUUGGCCCGUUUGCUUCGUUGGGUGUUAAGAUAUGUGAACUUCUCCAUGUUUCAGUAAAGGAAUAAGGAAAAGGAACCAUCGUUUACUGAUCAGCUCCCAAAGACACUUUGGUUUUGAGAGUCUGUCUGGAAGGCUUUGGUGGGGGGGGGGCUGUCUGAUGAAGCCAUGAUGUGUAAGGAUGAUCUUGAGCAUGACACGUCAAGUCAACGUCUAGAGAGGACCCGUAACCAGCUGGCUCCUAAAAGGCAGCUGCCCCGUCUUGCAGGGGAAGUUCCCUCCUAUGAAUCUGGUCUCAAGCUCUUGAGAGCUUGUUCCCAGCAUCCUCAAACAGAGCCCGUGGGACGGAUGCUGGAGGAAAGGGGCCGGGUGGAAAGCUGGUGACAGGAGGAAUAAGAGAUUUUUGUAGGCCUGGUGGUGGUGCAUCACCGGUCUUUGCUAGUCAACUUUUCGCAAAAGAGGUUAAACGGACAUUAAAGACCCUGCCUGCCCAGAAUUUGGAAUUUUUUUUAAAUGGGGGG